AACUUCCUCGGCAACUUUCCAAUUCUUUCGAAUGGACGACUUCUUUAAGGUGCUCCAUAUUGAAUUUCGGUGAGAAAUCACAAAACGUUGACAGCACACAAUUUGGUCGACGGUGUCCCCCUGGAGGGCAUACCAUGAACUGCACACACGUCUUGCGAAGUCGGAUGUGAGUACAGGAGUGGGUCAGCGCGGAGGUCUUGUUGUGGUUCCUCAGAAUUCGGAAGGUUGGGUUUCGAAUUUCGGUUACGCCCACAUUUACAAAUCUGUCGAUGAUACACUCAGUAACCCUUAAAGGAGAAAUAUGUGCCCGCUCACUCGCCCCCUCAUGUUUUACCCAGUUUCUCGAUGUCUUAACAGCGUGUCUGUGAAAUGUAUUUGUCAUAAUACCUCAAAAACCAAGAGUUACUGCACACGUUAUUUCGUUUUAUGAGAUAAUUUUUAAUCACCCUUUUUUUUCCGAGCGACACAGAAAGAGCAGGCCUCGCUUAUGCAAAUGAGUAACUGCCGCUUAUCCUCACGAGAGUCUCAGGGAGUGCUGCACCCUAUUAUUUCUUUUUAGAGCAUGCAAAUGAGCGACUGGUGCUUAUCCUCAAAAGGGUCGCAGGGAGUGCUGGAGCCUAUGCCAGCUGUCAACUGGCAGGAGGCGGGGUUCCACCCAGAACUGGCUUCCACCCGAUCGCAGGGCACAUCGAGACAAACAGCCGCAUUCACAAUCACACCUAGGGGCAAUUUAGAGUGUCCAAUGAAUGUUGCAUGUUUUUGGGAUGUGGGAGGAAACCCGAGUGCCCGGAGGAAACCACUUAGACACGGGGAAAACCUGCAAACAGGCGGGUCUGGGAUUGAACUGGGGACCUCAGAACUGUGAGGCCAACACUUUCCAGCUGUUCCACCAUGCCGCCACUGACCGACUUCUUCUUUUCCUUUCGGCUUGUCCCGUUAGGGGUCACCACAGUGUGUCAUCUUUUUCCGUCUUAGCCUUUCUCCUGCAUCUUCCUCACUAACCCCAACUGGCCUCAUGUCUUCCCUCACCACAUCCAGAAACCUUCUCUUUGGAACACUUAUGUGAGUUUAUUUGAUUAUGUAUUUAUUUCUUUGUAUGUUUGUUUAUUCAUUCAUUACAUGUUAGUAGUUGUGCAACUUGAUUUGUGGUGUGGUUAUAACAUAAAUUAGCCCUGCUGGUUCGUAACAGUACGCCAGAAGUGCCAAAUAGUUCUGGCGUAGACAUUUUCAGAAAGAGGCAGAUAACAAAGAAUUUACUCACUUGUUUAAUAUCACACUUAUGGAUGUGCAGGCACUUCGAAGACCCAAUUAUUUCUGUGGAGGGAUUUAAAAAAGUAGGUUUUCAAUAAUAUGACCCCGCAAGUUCAGUUCCUCGAACCCAGGAGUAGAAUGCUAAGAUAAAGCUAAAAAGUAUGUAUGGCAGUCUUAUAAAAAAAAAAAAAAAACAACAACAACGUAAUAUUGUCCAUAUGUGAACACUGUGGUAUUUUUACUCUCCAAAAGUAAAUGUACUGUACUAUAUCGGGGGUGCUGUCUGGUGUAAAGUGUGUUUAUUUGCAGUAAUGACUUAUUAAGGAAGGGGGUUUAGUGAGCGAGUGGGGCUCCGCUGAAAGAAUGUGCCUUAUCCUCACCAUGGGGCUGAACUUUCCAUGCUGGUCUCAUAUUUCAAGGCGUUCAAGGGCAGGAAGGGCUACAGGGGAGCUCGCGGCAGCUCCGCUCGUGAUUUUAACGGUAAGCAGGUAAGUCCUCCUGAUCUACUGUUAAAAACCUCGUGAAGGCCAAAGUCAAUUUCAGCGGGAAUACUUUAACCCCGGCAGGUAUGGAGCGGAAGAGGGUUUCCACAAAUUAAAUUUAAAAAGAGAAGCCCGGUCCUCCACUUAUAAGCGAGCGGCAACCCAAGCCCCGAGGCCGCAGCCUUUCUGGUCUGUGGAAAAUCAGUAAAAUACGGUCGUGAGGAGAACUUACCAACUGUUAUUUAAACUUAAAAAAAAAAGAAGAAAAAAAACAGGCAACAUGGACUGAUGGAAAAAAAAAGUUAAUACUUUCAUUAGCAAUGAAAGGGUAUGAAAAUUUCACGUUAUCAAUACAUUAUUAUAAAAAUAAUGCUCAAAGAAAUGUAAACCCCCAAAAAGUUCAGUACCAAAGGUAUUGCAACAAAAUAUAUUUCAAAUACAAAAACUGUAAAAUUACCAAUCAUGUGCCCUUUUUACACUUUAGGAACUGUAAACUGCUGUAAGCAAAUGAAAUAUCCACGAACGCAAAAUCCCAGGAACAUCAGGUGCUUACACAGAUGUACUUUCCUCUGGCCCGAAUUGGUCGAUGUUGUUGUAGAUGUUCUGUUCUCGCUCAGUCACUGGGUAAAAAUUCCAAGUACCAAAAAAUGUGUCACAACCAACCACACGGCAUUGCCUUUCUUAAUCUAUUAGUCACAAGAAUGGAAUCAGGGAGUGCGUUUUCGGCACGGCAGUGUUUUUCUCCAGUGCUCGGGGGGGGGGGGAGGAAAUUGAGUAACUCCUCAAAGUCAACUUUGAAAAUAGAUUGAUGCCUCGAAAAAGAAAAAAAAGUUCCCUCUGGAACCAUGUUUGAAAACCCAGAACCACUGUUUCAGAUGGACAUUUAUCACGGACGGACUCAGUGUUGGGCCACUAAUUAAUUUCACCAAAACCGACAGAGUACUCUUCUGUAAGUACUUUUCAAGAUACUGUUAGAUGUGAAAUGUACAAAUAUAUGUGUGAGCUGAAUCGUAGCGAAUUACUUUGCUAUUUAGGGCUUGGUCCCAAUACCGUUCAAAUUUCCAUCCAUUUCUGCAAGAGUUCACAUUUUUCUUUCUUACGCCUAGGAACUCACUGAUCAUUGGUGAGCUAUUUUUUUUUUUUAGAACAAGUCAGCAGACUAUCAAUGUUUUAAGAUUAGAUGUGUUAUGUGUUAAGUGUUGUAUUAAUGUGUUAAGAUUAGCUGAAGUAAAACAGAAUAUAUGUGCGUGAAUGUGAGGGGCGGAGGAGGAAGAGGGAGAAGAGAUGGCGAGGGUGAACGACUUCAAAUACUUUGGGUCAACAAUCCAGAGCAAUAGAGAGAGUGGUAAGGAAGUGAAGAAACGGGUCCAAGCGAGGUGGAACAGUUGGCGGAAGGUGGCUGGUGUUCUAUGUGACAGAAAAGUCUCCGCUAGGAUGAAGGGAAGAGUUUAUAAAACAGUGGUGAGGCCGGCCAUGAUGUACGGAUUAGAGACGGUGGCGCUGAAGAGACAACAGGAAGCGGAACCCGAGGUGGCAGAAAUGAAGGUGCGACACGAGAUCGGCUGAGAUGGAAAAAUAUGACAUGCUGUGGCGACCCUUAACGGGACAAGCCGAAAGGAAAAGAAGAAGCGGGCUAUGAAUGUUGUCGUAGCAUCAGGUUGGCAGACGUUCUGUAAUGAUGGAGAAGAACUCACUGAAAAUAAGCGCCCACCCCCCUGGCGGAUUUUGUCCCAGUGGUGGCAUCCUGUACAAGGUGGAUGCAGAGAGGAAGAG